rnacentral:lncRNA from 1 species
AUGUCACCCAGUGUCACCCCUGUCCUGUCCCAGUACCACCCAGUGUCACCCAGUGUCACCCCUCCUGUCCCAAUGUCACUGCAGUGUCACCAUUGUGUCACCCAUUGUCACCCCUGUCCUGUCCCAGUGUCAACCGGUGUCACCAUCGUGUCACCCAGUGUCACCCCUCCUGUCCCAGUGUCACCCGGUGUCACCAUCGUGUCACCCAGUGUCACCCCUAUCCUGUCCCAGUGUCACCCGGUGUCACCCGGUGUCACCCCUNNNNNNNNNNNNNNNNNNNNNNNNNNNNNNNNNNNNCCCAGUGUCACCCAGUGUCACCAUCGUGUCACCCGGUGUCACCCCUGCUGUCCCAGAGCCACCCGGUGUCACCUGGUGUCACCCAGUGUCACCCCUCCUGUCCCAGUGUCACUGCAGUGUCACCAUUGUGUCACCCAUUGUCACCCCUGUCCUGUCCCAGUGUCAACCGGUGUCACCAUCGUGUCACCCAGUGUCACCCCUCCUGUCCCAGUGUCACCCGGUGUCACCAUCGUGUCACCCGGUGUCACCCCUGCUGUCUUACUGCCACCCGGUGUCACCCAGUGUCAUCCCUGUCCUGUCCAGUGUCACCCGGUGUCACCAUCGUGUCACCUGGUGUCCCCCCUCCUGUCCCAGUGUCACCCAGUGUCACCCCAUUCCCAUCUCACUGUCACCUCGACGUCACCCCGAUGUCACCUUCCCCUGUUUGUGUCACCCCAUUGUCACCCCCUCCUCUUGCUGUCACCCCACUGUCACUGCAGUGUCCCCUCCCGCUGUCCCCCUGCUGUCACCCCAAUGUCACCCUGUCUCCUCUCACUGUCACCCCACCCCGUCCCUCCGCUGUCACCAGUGUCACCCCACUGCCACCCUGUCCCACCCUGUGUCACCCCAUUGUCACUCCAAUGUCCCCCUGCUGUCCCCAUCCCACUGUCACCCCACUGUCACCCUCAUUGUCCCCCAUCCCGUCCUGCUGCCACCCCA